AUUUGCUGUCACCAGCCAUCUUAGCUCAAACUCACUCUGGACAUAAUAUAUUACAAGCAAGUGAUUGUGCAGCAACUGGAACUGGACAGAUGAUCUGUGAAUUCGAUUGAGGUGGAGAAAACAGUAUUGUGGGAGCGUAUUUGUUUAAAGUACAUAUCACUGACAGAAAGUUACCAAGGCAUAAGGAGAGACUGAGGAUACAGUUGAAGAUCAUCCCGGUGGCUUUUCAUUUGAGGACUGAAAAGG